CGUAGGUGGCAAGCGUCGUCCGGAAUUAUUGGGCGUAAAGCGCGCGCAGGCGGUCCUUUAAGUCUGAUGUGAAAGCCCACGGCUCAACCGUGGAGGGUCAUUGGAAACUGGGGGACUUGAGUACAGAAGAGAAGAGUGGAAUUCCACGUGUAGCGGUGAAAUGCGUAGAGAUGUGGAGGAACACCAGUGGCGAAGGCGACUCUUUGGUCUGUAACUGACGCUGAGGCGCGAAAGCGUGGGGAGCAAACAGGAUUAGAUACCCUGGUAGUCCACGCUGUAAACGAUGAGUGCUAAGUGUUAGAGGGUUUCCGCCCUUUAGUGCUGCAGCUAACGCAUUAAGCACUCCGCCUGGGGAGUACGGCCGCAAGGCUG
rnacentral:rRNA from 1 species